UACGGAGGGUGCGAGCGUUAAUCGGAAUUACUGGGCGUAAAGGGUGCGUAGGUGGUAUUGUAAGUUAUCUGUGAAAUUCCUGGGCUUAACCUGGGGUGGUCAGAUAAAACUGCGGUACUCGAGUAUAGGAGAGGGUAGUGGAAUUUCCGGUGUAGCGGUGAAAUGCGUAGAGAUCGGAAGGAACACCGGUGGCGAAGGCGGCUACCUGGCCUAAUACUGACACUGAGGCACGAAAGCGUGGGAGCAAACAGG
rnacentral:rRNA from 1 species